AGCAGUCGCCGCGGUAGUACGAAGGGGGCUAGCGCUGCUCGGAAUGAUUGGGCGCAAAGGGCGCGUAGGCGGCGGCCAAAGUCAGGCGUGAAAUUCCUGGGCUCAACCUUGGGGCUGCGCUUGAUACUUGGUUGCUUGAGUGGGGAAGAGGGUCGUGGAAUUCCCAGUGUAGAGGUGAAAUUCGUAGAUAUUGGGAAGAACACCGGUGGCGAAGGCGGCGACCUGGUCCUUGACUGACGCUGAGGCGCGAAAGCGUGGGGAGCGAACAGGAUUAGAUACCCCAGUAGUCCCUGUCUCUUAUAC
rnacentral:rRNA from 1 species